UACGUAGGAGACGAGCGUUGUCCGGAGUUACUGGGCGUAAAGGGUGCGCAGGUGGCGGCGCGCGUGGGGGGUGAAAUCGCCCGGCUUAACUGGGCGGGGGCCUUCCAGACGGCGUGGCUUGAGCAGCGGAGGGGGACGUGGAAUUCCGGGUGGAGCGGUGAAAUGCGCAGAUAUCAGGAGGAACACCGAUGGCGAAGGCAGCUCGCUGGGACGGUACUGACGCUGAGACGCGAAAGCGUGGGGAGCAAACAGG
rnacentral:rRNA from 1 species